GCAGGAGUAUCGCCCAAAGUCAAACCAGGCUAUAUAGUGAGACUGUCUCAGAGGCACCCAAAACAACAACCAACAAGUGCCCCGUGCAGCCCGGCUCUUGGCGGCAGCUGCUUCACCUAACCAGUGCCUUUGUGUCAGGGACGGAACUUGCUCAUCUAUGUCCACCUCUCUGCCUUUCCCAGCUGACAGCAGCAGGCCCUGAGGACCAACCCCCCAACCCCACUCCCUCCAGGCCCUGCCUGUUAACAGAAGAACUUCUAAAGUGCUCUAACAAUGGAUGGAGCUCCCUGGGAAGGAAGUGGGUUCACAGGCACGGACAGCAAUCAAGAGGUGAAGGGAACAACUAUAUGUGCUUGGUGACUGACUGGACGCAAUGUUGAGUCUUCAGCCUGGGACUGUGGUCCUUUCCCCAAGACUGGGACCUGUAAGAAGGUGGAGGCCUGAAAGGAAGACACAGUCCCCACCCCUCUCUACCACACAAAGCCUCCCACACUGUACAGCCAGGCAGUAAAUGCUGGCGGAGGGACAGAGAGGUUCCCUUUGGCUCCAUAUGCCCGCCCCCCAUUCAUGGUGCUCUCUGGGGUAGAGGUCAUGCUCUGCUCUGUCCUGGCAGUGGCUCUGGAGGAGGAGGUUCCGGUUUUGAGUGCUUGGCCUCAGCAGUCCACCCUUCGUGGAGGUUAGCUCCAUGUCUGGAUUUGGUGGAGGAGCUGGUUUGUCAUCGCUGACCAGGGAGAGUGAAGGGUGAGGUGUGGAGAUACCUUGUUUAUACUCUAACAAAGCUUGCCUGAAGAUCAGAGGAGCACAGCAGCCAGCCACUAGAGCUCGUACCUCUACGAAAUCCUCAGACUGAAGAGAGUGAGCUCCUGUCUCCUCCUGCCUCAUAUUACUCUCUCCGCCCAGCCAUCCCACUUCCUGUCUGUACAGACCUCCGGACAUCUAUGGUUAACUAGUGGCCAGCACCAAGCACCAGGACCACACGCUUUAUAAUGGCAGUUCCACACUAUGACACCCUCCAGAGCCACGUGGCCCUUGAUAAAUCCUAGACUGUGCUCAGGAGGACUUGUGUGGUUCCUGAAACUGUCUUUUUAACAACUGAGAUGAGGGAGCCGUUAGCUGGAAGUGGGGCUUUGGGAGGUCUCCUGAAGUCCUCUCUGCAACCUGUGCAUCAGAGAAACUGGCCACUGGUGAGUGACCUUUUCAGGAACCCUGGGCUAUGAACACUGACCUUGUGUUAGCCUGUCCUGAUUGAGCUGCAUCGAGAAACUGUCACUGCCCCCAUGGCUAUGGAAAGAGUCCAUGCCGGGUGUCCAUCACGUGAGCUCUUACCACUAAUAGCUCAGAGGAAACCAGACAGCACUCUGUGGUGGCCUCAAACUGCAGCUAUUUUCUUGGUUCCAACAUUUCCUUUGCCCAAGAGCAUCACAGGCCUGAAGUGUUUGCUGUCACCUGGAAAAGGAGGCUACCAGGUGCCAAUGAAGAUGCAAUG
rnacentral:lncRNA from 1 species